CUCUCUUUCUUUCUUUUUUUUUUUUUUUUUCCAAGACAGGGUUUCUCUGUAUAGCCUUGGCUGUCCUGGAACUCAUUUUGUAGACCAGGCUGGCUUCAAACUCAGAAAUCCCCCUGCCUCUGCCUCCCAAGUGCUGGGAUUAAAGGCGUGUGCCACCACUGCUCGGCCUUGCUUUUUUGAUUAUGGAGUUUCAUUGGCUUUUUUUUUUUUUUUAUGAUUUUGUAGAUUUGUUUGUUUGUUAUUUUACUUUGAUUUUUGAGAUAAAACCUUAGUAGUAUUCCUGGCUGGCUGCAUUAAGUAUCCCUGACCAGCCUCAAACUUUGAGGCCUCCGCCUGCCUCUGCCUCCAGGUGUUGGGAUCAAAGCCCAGCUUUUUGUUCUGCUUUUAAUACUAGGGUUCCUUUUUAUUCUUUGGUUACUCUUCUGUCUGCAUGUGCCUGUGUUUGCUGCUGUGUACUGUGUCAGGGACCACCUGUCAGUCUCCCCAACACUGGUAUUAGAAAAUGACACCCUUGCUUGCCUUGGCUUCUCACACAGGUACUAGGAGUCUGAACUCAGGUCCUACCUCCUUCAUGACAAGCGCUUUGCUGGCCGAGCCAUCUUUCCUAGCCCCGAAUGUUUUCAUUUUUGAUGCUAUCCUGUUCUUGGUUCAUGAACCAGUGUGUUGUACUGACAGUGUGAUGGCUGUGGGGGUGGGGGGGUUAAGAGAAUGCUAUAGUGUGAUGGCUGUGGGUGUAAGAGAAUGCUACAGUGUGAUGGCUGUGGGGGGUAAGAGAACACUCUUUUGCACCUUACCUGCUUGGGUUUGUUUGACAUCUGCCUUGAUGCUUUAUGGUUCUGUAAUUUUAGGGAAAUUUAAUUUUUUUUUUUUAAGACCAAGGAGUGGUAGGAAUUUUGAAGAAAGGGCCAGAUUACAAAUAUUUUAGUGUUCGGAAGGUAAAUUGGAAGAGACUAUAAUAAGAGAGAAGACAUUUCUCCAAGUUUUUUGAAGUUUGAGAUGCAUCCCUAGGAGUUGGGGAUGUAGUGUUGGUACAGUGCUUGCCUAGCAUCCAGACGGUGCUAGAUUCUGUCGCUAGGACUUUAUAGCAUGGGUAUGUUGGCACACGCCUGUCAUCCCAGCACUUGAGAGGUUGAGUCAGAAGGAUCAGAAGUUCAAGGCCACCCUUGGCUCCAUAGCAAGUUUAAGGCCAGCUUGGGCUAUGUGAGACCCUGCCAUAAGGAUGAUUGUUUUUUGAAAGCUAGGCAUGAUGGUGCAUGCUUGUAGUCUUAGCACUCAGGAGGCUUAGGAAGAGGGGUUGCCAUAUGUUUAAAGCCAGCCAAAUUAGUUAACUAUUGAAUUCAGGCUUAGUCUGGCAUACUGAGACUCUAUCUUC
rnacentral:lncRNA from 1 species